UUCUCCAUCUAUUAUAUAAUAUAUUCUCAUCUUCUUUCUUUUUCCAGGGAAGUGCAAGAAUCUCAUACUCCAUUUUUAUUUUAUUUUUCAAGACGCGGUCUAGCCACAGUUGAACAACCAAAAGUCCGGUGUAAGAUAUUUGAAGAUCUAGAGUAUAAUUUUACGAAAAAACUACAAUAAUAUCAACAUUUUUAUAUUCAAUAUGAUAGUUAAAUUUAUAAACUUAUUGCAGAAAUGGAAGAAGGAAAUGCCCAUAAAUUACCUGUAGAUCCCUUUGAGCACACUUUAGAUAAUGAGACUAAAAUUUUUCGUACAUAUAUGCAGAAUUGUUAUGAAGACCAAUGUAGAAGAUAUGGGCCUGAGAAAACAUAUAAUGAAGAUACGAAAAAGGACGAUAAUAAUCACUUUGGUAAUCUCACAACCGUUGAUCAGGGUGUUCCAACGAUUGAUCCACUGAGUCCUUAUUAUGUUCAUCCAAGCGAUGGUCCGACCUCAGUUUCAAUUACUCCUGUGCUUACCGGAUCCAAUUACCAUAGUUGGGCUCGGUCUAUGCGUAGGGCUUUGGGUGGAAAAAUGAAAUAUGAUUUCGUUGACGGUUCUAUUCCGGUUCCUACCGAUCUUGAUCCAUUAUUCCGUGCUUGGUCGCGUUGUAAUAUGCUUGUGCAUUCAUGGAUCAUGAAUUCUGUCACUGAAUCGAUUGGUCAAUCCAUUGUAUUUAUAGAAAAUGCGGUAGAUGUUUGGAAUGAUUUGAAAUAACGCUUUUCUCUAGGUGAUUUGGGUCGUGUAUCAGAAUUACAACAAGAAAUUUAUGCUCUCAAGCAAGAGCAUCGAACGGUAACUGAAUUUUUUUCUGAUCUUAAGAUUUUGUGGGAAGAACUAGAAUUGUAUAUGCCAAUACCUACAUGUACCUGUCAUGUCAGUUGCUCUUGUGAAGCUAUGCGUACUGCUAGAUCUAAUCAUAAUUUACUCUAUGUGAUUCGUUUUUUGACUGGUCUUAAUGAAGAAUUCAGCGUUGUUAAGUCACAAAUUCUGCUAUUAGAUCCUUUACCUAGCUUGAAUAAAAUUUUCUCAAUGGUUAUUCAGCAUGAGCGUCAAAUUGUUCCUCCUAUUUCAGUUAAUUAUGACUCUAAAGUCCUUGUUAUUCAGUAUGGAGUUCCACCUCAUUUGCAGAAGAAAAGUUUAAACUAUGCAGCUCAUAAGGUUAAUGCAGAAAAUUCUGCGCCUCCAGCCCUUACUCAUGAGCAGUAUAAUACUCUUGUGUCUCUACUUCAGGCUUUUAGCAUUGGUAAACAAUCUACUGCGCAUGCUUCUAAUUAGGAUCCUUAUUCAUUGAAGAUGAUUGGUUCUGCUGAACUCGUUGAAGGAUUGUAUUGUAUCACUUGGUUCUCCUAGAUAAGAUUAUGAGUGCAUCUGCUGCCCCUUGCAACUCUGUUGUCAUCAUACCAGAAAAUGCAUUAUGGCAUUUUAGACUAGGCCACCUCUCUAGUUCUAGAAUGACUUUACUACAUUCUGAUUUUCCUUUUAUUGUUAAAGAUCAAAAAGGAGUUUGUGAUGUAUGCCAUUUGGAAAAACAUAAAAAAUUACCUUAUCAAAGGAGUUUGAAUAAAGCCUUGAAACCUUUUGAUCUAAUUCACUAUGAUAUAUGGGAUCCUCUUGCUAUUAAAUUUGUUCACGAUUUUUCUUAUUUUCUUACUGUUGUUGAUGACUUCAGUAAAUAUACUUGUGCCACUGUUAUAGAUCUAAGGCUGAAGUUAGUCAACAUGUCAUGAAUUUUGUUAAAGCCAUAAAAACUGAUAAUGGCCCGGAAUUUCUGAUGCCUUCUUUCUAUUCUUCCAAAGUCUAAUCAGGUGUUUCAUGUGCUAAGCCUAAUCAGCUUUGUAAACUUCUUAAAAAUCUCUAUGAUCUUAAACAAGCAAGCAGAAAAUGAUAUGAAAAAUUGAUAUCUUUGUUAGUGAAGGAAGGAUAUCAACAAUCUAAAUCUGAUUAUUCACUUUUCACACUGAAAAAUGGUCAUGAAUUUACUGCCUUGUUGGUUUAUUGAACAAUCUAAAUCUUUGUUGGAUUUAUUGAACGAUUCGGGUUUAUUGGGAUCCAAACCAGAUGGUAGCCCUAUUGAUCCUUCAAUUAAAUUACAUCAAGAUGAUGGUAAGCCUUAUGAUGAUAUUGUUGCAUAUAGGAGAUUAAUUGGUAGGUUGUUAUAUUUGAAUACUAUUCGAUCAGAUAUCACAUUUGCAACUCAACAACUAAAUCAAUUUCUUCAUACUCCAACCUGACACAUUAUAAUGCUGCUUGUAGAGUUGUGCAGAUUUUGGAGUAUUUAGAUUCUGACUGGGCUGGUUGCAUUGAUUCUAGAAAAUCAAUUUCAGGAUUUAUUUUUUUUAUUGGUUCUUCCUUGAUAUCUUGGUGAGCUAAGAAACAGAAAAACGUAUCUAGGUCUUCUUCUGAAGCCGAGUACAUAGAUCUUUCUAGUGCAACAUGUGAAUUACAAUGGUUGCUUCACUUGUUCAAAGAUUUACAUGUCAUCUCCACACGACAACCUGCGCUAUAUUGUGAUAGCCAAAGCGCUCUUCAUAUUGCUUCCGAUCCUGUGUUUCAUGAGAGAAGAAAGCACCUUAAAAUAGAUUGUCAUCUAGUAAGGGAGAAGGUUCAAGAUGGCACUCUUAGACUUUUACCAAUUUCAUCACAGGAGCAGUUAGCAAAUUUUCUCACCAACGCUUUGGCUUCUCCAAAAUUCAACUCAUUUAUAUCCAAGCUUGGCAUGAUAGUCAUCUAUAUUGCUUCAACUUGAGGAAGGAUACUGAGAUAAUAAAUAAUAGGCACAUCUUUAUUGGAAACCUGAAGUUAUUGGCUGUUAUAUCUUUCAUGGUAUAUCUGUGCAUUAGUGUCAGUUGCACAUUGCUUUAGGGUGUAAUUUCUACCCAAAGUUCUGAGUUUUAGCAGAAAAAUGCAGUUUUAAGUUCUAAGUGCUUGAAUGCUUCA